UACGGAGGGGGCUAGCGUUGUUCGGAAUUACUGGGCGUAAAGCGCACGUAGGCGGCUUUGUAAGUUAGAGGUGAAAGCCCCGGGCUCAACCUGGGAAUGGCAUUGGAAACUGGCGGACUCGAGUGUGGCAGAGGGGGGUGGAAUUCCGCGUGUAGCAGUGAAAUGCGUAGAGAUGCGGAGGAACACCGAUGGCGAAGGCAGCCCCCUGGGCUAACACUGACGCUCAGGCACGAAAGCGUGGGGAGCAAACAGG
rnacentral:rRNA from 1 species